CGCGCCGUGGUGGGUCUGGCUCCCGGGGUGGGUGGGGGCGCGGAGGCUCAGGGGCCCGGAGAGGUCCCGGCGGGGUGUCGAGCGCGGGCGUCGGUCCCGACUCCAGGAACGCGCGGCGCUCAAACCCCACUUUGCUGUCCGCUAGGCGGGCGAUGGCGCUCCGGGGCGAGCGGGGACCGUCUGAAUGAGGUGUCCAGAGUGGAGGACCGUGUCCACCUCGGUGUCGUCUCGUUCUUUUCCAGAGCUCUCCCCGCCCGCCUUCUCGGUGGCCUCCGUCACCCCGCACAGCGAGCGACCCUUCACCUACGACACGGUAAAACUGGAGACGAGACGCUGCUCGCCUUGUGUUUCCUCUCGUUCGUCUUCACACUUGCUUGCGUGUGACCCUCACUACCAAAAUAGCUUUCAACAGUCUCGGAACCUCAGAGGGGAGAAGACCCUGUGUGUUAAAUUAUAAAUACGUGAUGCGAGAGAAGCAUCUGCACAGUUGACAGUCAAACUACGCUGUUCACCCACGUCGACAUUUUCUCACUUAAAAGUAAAAUAUUGUCAUAGUUGGGGUCUGGAUGCAGAAAGCAGUGUGUGUGGUGGAAGGCAGCUUUUACGAACAGAGGUGGAAUAAACCUACUUUUGAUACGGAAUCCACAAUAUGAAUGGAUAGUCUUAGAUUUGAAGUGAGGACGUCCCUCCCCCAGAAGUGGAGACUGAACCCACAUGCUAAGAUCCGAAAGGUCAGCAACUCUACUAGCUACAUCUCCAUCUCCUAGGUGGCGAGGCUUUUAAAAUAAAGAUGUAUAUAAUCCUUCUCUACUGAGGGGACAAGGGGUGGGAGGACGUUUCCGACAUUUCUCUGGCACUGAAAGCUGACAACAUCUAAGUCAGUCUGAUUAAUCUGUUCUUAAAGCCUUACCCACACAUCGUUCGUGCUCAUGGAAGCAGCUCUGAUUAAACUCAGUGGGUCAGAAAAAGAUUUAAAAUUUUAUUUAUUUAUUCAUUUUGCAUCCUGACUGCAGCCUCUCUUCCUCUCCUCCUCAUAGAAGGGGGAGGUCCCCCAUGGGUACCAACCCUCCCUGGCACAUUAAGUCACUGCAGAACUAGGCACAUCCUCUCCCACUGACGCCAGACAAAGCAGCCCAGUUAGCGGAAUGGGAGCCAAAGGGGGGCAUCAGAAUCAGAUUGGGCCCCUGCUCCAGUUGUUGGAGAUCCACAUGAACAACAAGUUGUGCAUUUGCUACGUGUGUUCAGGUGGCCUAAGACCAGCCCAAGAAUGCUCUUUGGUUGGUGGUUCAGUCUCUGUGAGCCCCCAUGGGCCCAGGUCAGUUGACUCUGUAGGUCUUCUUGAGAAGUCCUUGACCCCUCUGGCUCCCUCAAUUGUUCCCCCAACUCUUUCAUAGGACUCUCCAAGCUCUGUCUAAUGUUUGGCUGUGGGUCUCUGCAUCUGUUUCCAUCAGCUGCUGGGUGAAGCCUCUCAGAGGAGUUAUGCUAGGUUCCUGUCUGCAAACAUGGCAGAGUAACAUUAAUAGUGUCAGGGGUUGGUUUUCUCCCAUGGGAUGAGUCUCAAGUAGGGCCAGCCUUUCUUUGGCCAUUCCCUCAAUCUUGUAGGUAGGAAAAAAUUUGGGGCUGAAGGUUUUGUGGGUCGGUUGGUGUCCUUAUCCCUCCACUGGAAGUCCUGCCUGGCUACAUAAGGUGACUUAGGCUCCAAAUCCCCUGAUGCUGGAAGUCUCAGCUAGGGUGACUCCCAGAGACCUCUGGGGCUUCCCAUAUCCCAGAUCUCUGGCAAAUCUCAGAGAUGCCUCCCACCUCUGAUUUCCUUUCACCACCACCCUACUCCUAAUUCCCACCCUGCUCCCCUCCCCAUCCCCUCUUCUACUCAGCUUCCUCCAUUCAUCAACCUCCAUAUGCCUAAUUUAAUUUCCCUUCUGAGUGAGAUUCAAGCGCCCUCCCUUGCACCCUCCUUGUAACUUAGCUUCUUUGGGUUUGUGGAUUGUAGCAAAAUUCUUGUAAAUGGAAAAAAAAAAAAAAAAAAGAAUUCCAGUUAAUAGAACAUACAGAUGGAUUGGGUAAUUUUGAAAUUGGAUAUAAAAUUCUCUUGUGUGUGAACCUUAAGGCAAAGAUGAUUAAACAUUAAAAAAAUGCCAUGAAAAGAAAAGGCCCAGUUAAGAAGAAGAAGCAGAAGAAGAAGAAGAAGAAGAAGAAGAAGAAGAAGAAGAAGAAGAAGAAGAAGUUGUUCAAAUGAGAAGGUCAUUUGAGGCUAAGCCUGUCUUUGUACCUGAAAAUUUAUCUAUCACGAACAUAAACUACAGUUUUCCCAAACAGAAGAUUGGUUUCCAUGAGGAACAUUCAUUAUCCCUAGGAGAACAUAGACUCUGAAUGUUCAAGACUACUCAGUACUCACCCAAAGAUGUGGGAUCAAAUGAGACCAAUUAGGACAAACCAUUCCCUGGCAUCAUGGGACAAUGAAGAACAAGCAAGUUGAUGGUUAAUCAGCAAUGUCUUCAGAGAAUAUUGUUCAGAAACAUGGGGGAAGUUGUCAGAACUAAAAGUCAAGCUGGGCAUGGAAGUGGUUGCCUGAAUUCCACACACUCGAGAAGCUGAAACAGGAAGAUAGUAAGCUUGGGACCAGUCUAGGUUUUGUAAUGAGAUCCUGUAUCAAACCAAUAAGACAGAGUUACAUGCUCCUCCAAAAGUAACUAAAAGCCAAGAACCACUAUGAAAAACAGUUCUUAUGAGCGGGCUCCCUGGCACUAGUUAGACGUGUUCACACUGAUCUCUCUUUGUGUUCUAUCUACUAUACUUGUAUUGGACGUACACAUCUUCCACAUCAAGAUCAAGAUGAUAAAACAGAAAGCAGAAACUUAAAACAGAUGUGGCAGAUAUGAAGACCUUCUAAAGAGAUGCUGAAGUCUCUCAAGGUAUCAGACUAUUGAAACAAUGGAUUCUAAAGAAAUAGGAAUUUCCCUAGGGAAUCUCAUGCUGGGAAAAGGAAAGAGUGCUAGCCAGAGGGGGAACUUGCCUCCUGGAAAGAGAUUUCACAUAGUUCUACUGACUUGUUAGACCGUAUUCCUGAUGAGACCAAAGCCCAAACAAGGAUGGGCCAAUGAUGAACAUGAACACUCACUGACCAGGACCACUUAGGUGUCCAAGUCCUUGGCCUUUUAUUUAAACUUAAACCCACUUGAGGACCCUUGAAGAGAAUGUGUUUGUUGGGGAGACAGGGUGAAUCAUUAGAUCUCUUCCUGAU